rnacentral:tRNA from 1 species
UUAGGGAGACCUGCUGCCAUCUGGACCGACCCAAUUAUUUAGGUCAGAUGCCAGUCAUCCCAAGGUCGUGCGAGGAAACAACUGGGCUGUCAAAGCUUUCAAACUCUUAAACGGUUCGGUUUAUGGGCUAUUAGCUCAGGUGGUUAGAGCGCACCCCUGAUAAGGGUGAGGUCCCUGGUUCGAGUCCAGGAUGGCCCACCUUAACAGGAAGAAGUUAAAAGUAUGGAAUUAACACCUCCUUGCUAGAAGCUUUUUUGAGGGGGGUAUAGCUCAGCUGGUAGAGCGCUGCCUUUGCAAGGCAGAUGUCAGCGGUUCGAGUCCGCUUACCUCCACUCGACCAGUAAAACCAAAAAAAUCAAAAUACCUUGUUUAUCUUCCAUGAUUGGUGAUAGACUAGAUAAAGUGGAAAAAAGAAUCCUGCAACUGUUAGGUGAAGUCCUUGCAGCCUGCUGGAAUUCUUUCCAGCCAGAACCUUGAAAACUGCAUAGCAACAAGUCAUAGGUAGUCAGUAGAAAGUAGAAGUCAUUAAUUUGACGACUACAGAAAAUACAGACUUUGAUUUAAGU